rnacentral:lncRNA from 1 species
GUACUGACAAAGGACUUCAACUUAAGCCGCAGUACGAAGAUCGUGUCGGUUAUGGCGCUGGUUAUGAUUAUGGUUAUGGUGCUGAUUACAAGAGUCGCGGCCCAUCCACUAAUCAAGUAUUUUGUGUUCUUCUUUAGUUUUUUCUUUUCUUUUCUCACUCAAAUUAUAUGAAAAUCUUCUGAAAAUUAUAAACAAAUUAUUGAGUGUUCAAAAAAAAAAAACAAAUUAUUGACUAAAAUAAUGGGAAGCAUCAUGAUUUCGAACUCGUAAUAGAGAACUUAUAAUCUAGUGGUCAAUAUAUAUAGUUUUUAGUCUUAGGAUUCCUAAGAAAAUAUGUAAGAAAAUAAGAACGAAAAAAAAAUCAGAGUUCGCACGAGACCACAACUUAGAUGUGUAUGCAUGCAUGUAUAAAGGAUCAUAUCCAGGUCAUGGUUGGACUUAUAACAAUUUCAGUGUUGUAAUAACAAAUUUUUUAAAAGGGUCUAACCAUAUCAUGCAGGUCGUGGCACUUAUAGCAGGAGUUCCAAUUGGUGGCUCAUUACUAGCCCUAGCUGGACUCACUCUAGCCGGUUCGGUGAUAGGUUUGAUUCUCUCCAUUCCGCUCUUCCUCCUCUUCAGUCCCGUGAUUGUCCCAGCCGCUCUCACCAUAGGGCUCGCUGUGACCGGAAUUUUGGCGUCUGGGUUAUUUGGUCUGACGGGUCUGAGCUCGGUCUCAUGGGUCCUAAACUACAUCCGUGGGACGAGUGAUACGGUGCCGGAGCAACUGGACUAUGCUAAGCGGCGUAUGGCUGAUGCAGUAGGCUACGCUGGUCAGAAGGGAAAAGAGAUGGGACAGUAUGUGCAGGAUAAGGCCCA